rnacentral:rRNA from 1 species
CGAUAUCGACGAGUUUGAUCAUGGCUCAAGACGAACGCUGGCGGCAGGCCUAACACAUGCAAGUCGAGCGAACCCUUCGGGGUUAGCGGCGGACGGGUUAGUAACGCGUGGGAAUAUACCCUUUGGUACGGAAUAGCCUCGGGAAACUGAGAGUAAUACCGUAUGUGCCCUUCGGGGGAAAGAUUUAUCGCCAAAGGAUUAGCCCGCGUUGGAUUAGAUAGUUGGUGGGGUAAUGGCCUACCAAGUCUACGAUCCAUAGCUGGUUUGAGAGGAUGAUCAGCAACACUGGGACUGAGACACGGCCCAGACUCCUACGGGAGGCAGCAGUGGGGAAUCUUAGACAAUGGGCGCAAGCCUGAUCUAGCCAUGCCGCGUGGACGAUGAAGGCCUUAGGGUUGUAAAGUCCUUUCAGAUGGGAAGAUAAUGACGGUACCAUCAGAAGAAGCCCCGGCUAACACCGUG